GACGAACGCUGGCGGCGUGCUUAACACAUGCAAGUCGAACGGAAAGGCCCUGCUUUUGUGGGGUGCUCGAGUGGCGAACGGGUGAGUAACACGUGAGUAACCUGCCCUUGACUUUGGGAUAACUUCAGGAAACUGGGGCUAAUACCGGAUAGGAGCUCCUGCUGCAUGGUGGGGGUUGGAAAGUUUCGGCGGUUGGGGAUGGACUCGCGGCUUAUCAGCUUGUUGGUGGGGUAGUGGCUUACCAAGGCUUUGACGGGUAGCCGGCCUGAGAGGGUGACCGGCCACGUUGGGACUGAGAUACGGCCCAGACUCCUACGGGGGGCAGCAGUGGGGAAUAUUGCACAAUGGGCGGAAGCCUGAUGCAGCAACGCCGCGUGCGGGAUGACGGCCUUCGGGUUGUAAGCCGCUUUCGCCUGUGACGAAGCGUGAGUGACGGUAAUGGGUAAAGAAGCACCGGCUAACUACGUG
rnacentral:rRNA from 1 species